AUGGAGCACGCCGCGUGCAGGAUGAAGGCCUUCGGGUUGUAAACUGCUUUUAUAACUGAUGAUUAUGACAGUAAGUUAUGAAUAAGGACCUGCUAACUACGUGCCAGCAGCCGCGGUCAUACGUAGGGUCCAAGCGUUAUCCGGAUUGACUGGGCGUAAAGAGAUGCGUAGGCGGCUUAAUAAGCGGAUAUUGAAAUCCAGUGGCUCAACCACUUGGCUGGUAUCCGAACUGUUAAGCUAGAGUAUGUGAGGGGUCGCUGGAAUUUCCGGUGUAGGAGUGAUAUCCGUAGAUAUCGGAAGGAACACCGAUGGCGAAGGCAGGCGACUGGCACAUUACUGACGCUAAGGCUCGAAAGCGUGGGGAGCGAACCGGAUUAGAUACCCGGGUAGUCCACGCCGUAAACGAUGGAUGCUAGCCAUUCGGGGGUAUCGACCCCCUCGGAGGCGAAGCUAACGCGUUAAGCAUCCCGCCUGAGUAGUACGAGCGCAAGCUUAAAACUCAAAGGAAUUGACGGGGACCCGCACAAGCAGCGGAGCGUGUGGUUUAAUUCGAGGCUACGCGAAGAACCUUACCAGGGCUUGACAUGCUGGUGGUAGAGAUUCGAAAGAUGAUCGACCUUCGGGAGCCAGCACAGGUGCUGCAUGGCUGUCGUCAGCUCGUGCCGUGAGGUGUUUGGUUAAGUCCAGUAACGAGCGCAACCCUCAUCGUUAGUUACAUGU
rnacentral:rRNA from 1 species